GCUGAAGAACGCAGCGAAAUGCGAUAAGUAAUGUGAAUUGCAGAAUUCAGUGAAUCAUCGAAUCUUUGAACGCACAUUGCGCCCGUCAGUAUUCUGGCGGGCAUGCCUGUUCGAGCGUCAUUACGCCCCUCAAGUCCCCUGUGGACUUGGUGUUGGGGAUCGGCGAGGCUGGUUUUCCAGCACAGCCGUCCCUUAAAUUAAUUGGCGGUCUCGCCGUGGCCCUCCUCUGCGCAGUAGUAAAACACUCGCAACAGGAGCCCGGCGCGGUCCACUGCCGUAAAACCCCCCAACUUUUUAUAGUUGACCUCGAAUCAGGUAGGACUACCCGCUGAACUUAAGCAUAUCAAUAAGCGGAGGA
rnacentral:misc_RNA from 1 species